rnacentral:rRNA from 1 species
UACGUAGGGGGCAAGCGUUGUCCGGAUUUAUUGGGCGUAAAGAGCGUGUAGGCGGCCAGACAGGUCCGUUGUGAAAACUCGAGGCUCAACCUCGAGAUGUCGAUGGAAACCGUCUGGCUAGAGUCCGGAAGAGGAGUGUGGAAUUCCUGGUGUAGCGGUGAGAUGCGCAGAUAUCAGGAAGAACACCUAUGGCGAAGGCAGCACUCUGGGACGGUACUGACGCUGAGACGCGAAAGCGGGGGGAGCGAACAGG